GAUUUACUAUAAAGAGAUUGAACCCAAGGCCUUUGCACUGAGCCAUCUUCCUGGACAUCUACUUGAUCUCCUCGAAUGGAUAUCACACAAACAGAAUCCCUGUCAGAAUCAAGAAAUUUGAGAGUUUUAUGAAACUAAAUUUAUCAACUUCAGAAUGAGUAAGUUCUUUCAAAUCAAGAUACAAAACACAGAAGCCAUAACUGAAAGAGAAAAGAAAGUAUAUCUGUCUUUUCACAUAGAGCACAAAAAAGAAAUUAUGGUUGAUUUGUCAGUUUGUCUUUAUUUCUGCAUUCCACAUUACAUAAAUACUGGGACAUCUGCUGAGACAAAGAAGGCUACUUUAAAAUGCAGCCGGCUGAGCCCGGAGUGGUUGCACUCACCUGUAAUCCCAGCAGUCAGAGGUUUAAGAAGGAAGAUCAUGAGUUUCAGGCCAGCCUAGGCCAUUUAGUGAGUUCAAGGCCACAUGGUGAGACCCUGCCUUAAGAAAUAAGGUUGCAAGAAAAUUAUCCCAUGAUUCAAUGCAUAAAUAAGCAAUUUAUUUUCCAUAUGGAUUUAGCAUGUCAAAAUGCUGAAGAGAGCACAGCAGCAGUGGAUUGUCCCUGCUCUGUGAAGUUUGAGGCCUGCUGGAGACCAUAAUUUUAGUAUUACAAAAGUUGACUCGAACAGGCACUGUUGACAGGAGGCAGAGACAUCAGCUGGUAUUUCUGUCCUGAACAUCUCUAUGGAGAUGGAAAUGUGCUUCCUGACCUGACUGCCGGAUCCCAAGGAUGAGUGCCACAGAGAGUAGAAUGAGGAGCAGUGUGGUAAGAUGCAUACAGUCACUUCAAGUGGACUCUGCCAGACUGGAGAAGAGCCUGCCCAGGUUCAAAGGGAGAGCAAAGAGCCUCAUAUCUUGAUGGGUAGUGACAGGUUCUGGCAGAGGCUCUGUACCUACCAAUGUGGCUUUGGUCUUUUGAGAAACACAGUCUGACCCACUUGUUCAUGACUUGGCCGUAUGGAUUUCAGUCCAAUGAAAGUAUCAGUUUAUAGCAGGACUCAUGCAGAAAACCCAUUGAAUUAGAAAUAGUAUAACCCCAUUUCAAACUAUAGGAUAUGUUCCUGAGCCACAUCUAGUGAGUUUCCUUUGUCAAUCCCCUUGAGUGACACUAGCAGAAACAAUACCUAUCUAUAGGCUUUUUUUCCUCUACAUUUGAUGGUGAUUUUAUAAAAUUAACUUUCUUUUAUCAAAUAAUAAUGAAAAGCAGAUAAAAAAAAUCCUGACAGCUCACUUAAUUAUACCAUUGACCACUUUGGUACAGUGGUUGGUAUAAAAAUAAUAAAUAUAAAGAACACUAUUGACCAGGGUUGAAACAUGUGAAUUAUCCCUGUGUUUCAAUAUAUAUACUUGUUUCUUUUGCUCUGCUUAGCAUCUGUGAUGGUUAAAUGUGGUGAUAAUCUGAGUAAGAAAUGCCUAGGAGAUAGGUUUAGCACAGCUUUGGGUGUAUCUGGAUGAUGGAUAUACUGAAGAUUGAAAAUCUACCCUGAGUAUGGAUAGCACCAACCAGUAGGCCAGUGGCCUGGAUGGAAAAAAAAGGGAAAGAAGGAAGUCUGGAUUCUGCUUCUUCAGAGGAGCUCAAGGCUUCCCUGUUGCCUUUUGGACAUCUGUCUCCAUGGUUGCAGCACAGACUCUUCAGCUUUACAGCUCAGUCUCUCUGGCUUCCUGAUGGGGACUCACUCCCACGGGUCUCUGCAGUGAGUUCCAAACCUCUGAGUUUUGACUGGAUCCUCUGGCUCUCCAGUGAGCAGACAGCCUUUUUGCAUUCUUUUACACCUGACUCUGCAAGAAGCCAAUGUAAAGCUACCUUCAGUACUGUUGCAUAUAUUUUAUAUUAUGCAGAUGUAUGUAUUUUGUAUUAAAUCUGUUCCUCUAAUGAAUCCUAGCUGAUACAGCAUCAUUUUUGACUAAUCCCACUUUUAAAUAAUUUUCUAUAAAGAUUCAAUUAUUUCAGAAGGAAUUUAUUCUACCAAAACUAA